AUAAUAAAGUGAAGUUAUGAAACUAACCGACUCCCCUCUCCCCUUCUUUCCCUUUCUUUUUGAGACAGACCUCCCAACUCCUCUCCCUUCCCUUCUUUCUCUCCUCUCCUUCUUUCCCUCACCUCGUUCGCGCAACAGCGCCGCUGUACACCGGUCAUCAACGAUCGUAAAAUUGUACCUCCAGAAUCCUUUUCGAUCCUCUCCUCCUGGGCUGUCCUCCAACGUUCAGUUGGAGAAAUGGCUCCUGCUAUUUCUGGUGUGCUGAUAGGUCCACAGCACAUAGUCUAUUUAAGGCUCUUGCGGGAUUCACGAAGGAAGAAAAUCAUACCAGACAUGACAAAGUCCAAACCUUUAUGAGGAGAGAAUUUUUUGCAAUAGUUCCAGCAGGAAGCACCAAAGCGGCCUGUCCUAAAAUGGGAGAACAACAUGGCAUGGCCAGGAAAAGUUGCAUUAACUGAUAAAUCUAUUUAAUUUGAGGAAGAGGAUGAAAAUCCUUAUACGGUUAUGGUUCCUCGUGUCGAUUCGGAUUUGCUUCCUUUUGUUAUUAAGGUACAUUGGACAUUUAGUUGUUCCAAUAGAAAAAUGCUCACUCUUUUUGUCGGAGCAAAUGAAACUCUUAUUGUUAUCAGAUAUGUGUAAAGCUAUUCAAUUUUCUGUUUAUUGGAUAUGUUGAUAGGAAAAUCUCAUUUUUUGUUGUCUUUUCUUGAACACUUGGAAGCAUGUUUUUUAUGAAUAUUUGUGCGGCUUCAUUAUUGACAUUCCAUUUCUAUUGUUUGAUUGCUUCUUAAAGCUGAGACAAGUCCCGUGACCAGGUACUCCUAAUUUAUUCUGCCUUUUCCUAUUUGCUAUUCCUAUUCAAUUGGAGUAGUUAUAACGAUGAAUUGAAUUGAAUUGGGUAGAAACAAACCCAUUAGAUUAAAGAAGUUGAACACUACUCAUUGUUUAUAGGGUUGUAAAUAGAUUUCCACAUGUAUAUUAGUAUGGCUUAUCAUAUAUAUAUUUAACACUUUCUACGUCUUUUAUGCAGUUUCAAAACCCACAGCACUGCGUGGGCACUCUUGCUAGUAUAAACUUAUUCGUCUAAGACUCUAAUGAAAGAUUUUCAGUCUCAUUUUGGAGUUUGGUGUUGUGAACCCUUUUGUACAUACAAGGUUUAAAUAUAUAUAUAUAUAUAUAUAUAUGUUUAUAUGCAGGUGGCAUGAAGGUGAAAGUUGCCAGAGACGAGUGUUCCCCAUAUGCUGCCAUGCUUGCAGCAGAUGUUUCACAGAGAUGAAAGUGCUUCCCCUACACAUGUUGUUGAGGGUUUAAAUGAUAACAAUGAAGCGGCUUCCACACACGUUUUGGAUACUCCCGGUUCCUUCUCACGAUCAUUUGGCUAGUCACUUGGCUAAGGCAAGUUUGGUUAGUAAUGAUACCAUCUCGGGUGCGAGAGGUUUGAAUGAGGCUUCUCCCUCACAUUUUGUGGAGGGUUUAGUUGAUGACAAUGAUACAACCUCCAAACAGGUUUCGGAUUCUCAGAAUGAUUCUCCCAUUAGAGGUGUUCAGGUAAACUCUUCUAUUGUGUUCUCUGGGAGAAAUAGUGCUAGUAAUUCAAUUCAAGCUGGUUUUCCAGUUCAGGUGGCGCGUCAUCCUUUAUCACCUCAAGUUCGUUCUGAAAUAAAAAAUGCUAUUUUUACCAUCUAUUUGUACCAUCACUUGUACCAUCUUUUUAAUAGAGAUGGGAUCCACAUGAGUUGGUGGGCCUUACUUCUAUUAGAGAGAUGGUACAACUAAAUGGUAAGUAUAGCACUACUCUCCUGAAAUACAAAAAGUCAAUGAUUGGUACACUACGGUGGAGGAAGAUGCUUUUUAAGUAAUGUUGAUGAGCAUGGAAACAAUGAUUUAGAUCGAGCAAAUAAUAUUUCUAACCAAGUUGAGGAUGAUAUGACUUUGGUGAUUUCAAAAUCUCAAAAGAGAAAAUUACGGAAUAAUAACGAGAAUCUGGUUGAUUCUCUUAAUUUUGGUUUUAUGAAGAAUUUAGUGGAAGAGCUUUACGUUCUUCAUUCUGUUGGCUUUCAUGAACGUCCUACGAAGGCUCCAAAAAUUAUUGAGGUGUCAGCAUUCAUGGACAUCCUGCAAAGGCUCCAAAAUUAUUGAGGUGUUCGCUUUCUCUUUUCAUCUUCGUCUUCUUUGACGACGGUGCCUUGGUGGCUUUUAGUUCGUUAGCAUAAUUGUGGAGUUUUAUUAUCUUCUAUGCAAGUUCAUCUUUCUCUUAAUUUUAAAGAGGGUAAUCAAGUUGCUGAUUGUCUAGCCUUUUAUGGUAUUGAUCACCUUGGUGUUCAUUUGUUGGAUUCAUGCCCUCCUUUUUGCAUCUACUUACUCUCCAAAUUGUUCAGCUUCCUUGUUAUACGUUAUGUUAGAAGUAGUUUUGGGUGGUUGUUCAUGGCUUUUUUAAGGUUAGGGUUAGGCUUCAUAUCCCUCUUGACAUUUGUAUUUUUGUUGUUGUUUUUAAUCAAUUUACCUUAUAGUCUCUUUUCAUAAUAGCAAUGCUAGAGUAUGAUUGACUUUGCAAUUUUUUAGUCAAAUAAUAAUAAUAAUAAUAAUAAUUCUUGAGCCAUAUAUGACACUAGCAUAUACCUACAUAUUUUGUGUGUGUUAAUAUUUUUUAUUUUGUUUUUUGUUUUUAAAAUGGGAAUGAGGGAUGGAGAGAGGGAGCGUGGGAGUGGGAGUGGGAGUGUUAGUGAGAGUGAGAGCGGGAGUGGAAAGAGAGGUUUUUAUUUUUAUUUUAUUUUUAUUUUUAUUUUUAUUUUAAUAUUACAUAUAUGUUAAAAUCACCUGUGAGGCUUCAAUAAUAAAACAACAAAAUUUGGUUUGUAAAAUUACAUUAUUGCCCAUCAUUUUAUUAUUAUUAUUAUUAUUAUUAUUAUUAUUAUUUUGUAAUAGAAGACUAAAUAGUCUUUAUACCCUCUUUUGAUUGAUAAAGAAGGUUCUAUUAAUAGGUAGUUUAGAUAUAUAAGGUUAUAGAGCCCCCUUCAAUUGAGGAUCCCUUAAUUAUGUAAUGCAAGACUCAGGAGUGGAGUCUAUGUAAGUGUGGUAGUUAAGCAUCUUGUUCGAUUCUUGUCUUCC